CUUUAGGGUCUUGUAAUCGGAAUGAGUACAAUUUAAAUCCCUUAGCGAGGAACAAUUAGAGGGCAAGUCUGGUGCCAGCAGCCGCGGUAAUUCCAGCUCUAAUAGCGUAUAUUAAAGUUGUUGUGGUUAAAAAGCUCGUAGUUGAACCUGGGCCCCGCGCCGGCCGGUCCGCCUCACCGCGUGCACUGGUUCGGCCGGGGUUUUCGCCUGGGGAACCUCGUGCCCUUCACUGGGCGUGGGCGGAACCAGGACGUUUACUGUGAAAAAAUUAGAGUGUUCGAAGCAGGCCUAUGCUCGGAUACAUUAGCAUGGAAUAAUAAAAUAGGACGUGCGUUCUAUUUUGUUGGUUAUGGGACCGCCGUAAUGAUUAAUAGGGACAGUCGGGGGCAUCAGUAUUCGGUAGUCAGAGGUGAAAUUUUUGGACCUACCGAAGACUAACUACUGCGAAAGCAUUUGCCAAGGAUGUUUUCAUUAAUCAGGAACGAAAGUUAGGGGAUCGAAAACGAUCAGAUACCGUUGUAGUCUUAACCAUAAACUAUGCCGAUUAGGGAUCGGACGGUGCUACUUACUGGCCCGUUCGGCACCUUUCGAGAAAUCAAAAUGUGUGGGUUCCUGGGGAAGUAUGGUGGCAACGCUGAAACUUAAAGAAAUUGACGGAAGGGCACCACCAGGGGUGGAGCCUGCGGCUUAAUUUGACCCAACACGGGGAAACUCACCAGGUCCAGACACAAUGAGGAUUGACAGAUUGAGAGCUCUUUCUUGAUUUUGUGGACGGUGGUGCAUGGCCGUUCUUAGUUGGUGGAGUGAUUUGUCUGCUUAAUUGCGAUAACGAACGAGACCUUAACCUGCUAAAUAGCCCACGUUGCUUCUGCAGCGCGCCGGCUUCUUAGAGGGACUAUCGGCUCAAGCCGAUGGAAGUUUGAGGCAAUAACAGGUCUGUGAUGCCCUUAGAUGUUCUGGGCCGCACGCGCGCUACACUGACAGGGCCAGCGAGUUCUUUCCUUGGCCGAAAGGCCCGGGUAAUCUUGUUAAACCCCGUCGUGCUGGGGAUAGAGCAUUGCAAUUAUUGCUCUUCAACGAGGAAUCCCUAGUAGGCGCAAGUCAUCAGCUUGCGUCGACUACGUCCCUGCCCUUUGUACACACCGCCCGUCGCUACUACCGAUUGAACGGCUUAGUGAGGCUUUCGGACUGGCCCGGGGAGGUCGGCAACGACCACCUCGGGCCGGAAAGCUAUCCAAACUUGGUCGUUUAGAGGAAGUAAAAGUCGUAACAAGGU
rnacentral:rRNA from 1 species